rnacentral:rRNA from 1 species
UACGAAGGGGGCUAGCGUUGCUCGGAAUCACUGUGCGUAAAGCGCACGUAGGCGGCUUGUUAAGUCAGGGGUGAAAUCCUGGAGCUCAACUCCAGAACUGCCUUUGAUACUGGCGAGCUUGAGUUCGGGAGAGGUGAGUGGAACUGCGAGUGUAGAGGUGAAAUUCGUAGAUAUUGGGAAGAACACCGGUGGCGAAGGCGGCGACCUGGUCCGUGACUGACGCUGAGGCGCGAAAGCGUGGGGAGCAAACAGG